GAUGAACGCUGGCGGCGUGGAUUAGGCAUGCAAGUCGAGCGAGAACCCAGCAAUGGGGGACAGCGGCGCAAGGGACAGUAAUGUGUAGAUCAUCUGCCCUCAGGCCCGGGAUAGCUGCGGGAAACUGCAGGUAAUACCGGAUAACAUCUCCGGAUCAAAGGUGCGAUUCCGCCUGAGGAUGAGUCUACAUCCUAUUAGCUAGUUGGCAGGGUAACGGCCUACCAAGGCGAUGAUGGGUAGCGGGUGUGAGAGCACGACCCGCGUCAUUGGGACUGAGACACUGCCCAGACACCUACGGGUGGCUGCAGUCGAGAAUCUUCGGCAAUGGGCGCAAGCCUGACCGAGCGACGCCGCGUGCGGGAUGAAGGCCUUCGGGUUGUAAACCGCUGUCAGAGGGGAUGAAAUACAGGUGGGUUCUCCCAUCUGUUUGACAUAGCCUCAGAGGAAGGACGGGCUAAGUUCGUGCCAGCCGCCGCGGUAAUAC
rnacentral:rRNA from 1 species